UUGACGGAGAGUUUGAUCCUGGCUCAGGACGAACGCUGGCGGCGGGCCUAACACAUGCAAGUCGAACGCACUCGACCUUCGGGUCACAUGAGUGAGUGGCGAACGGGUGAGUAACACGUGAGAAACCUGCCCCGAAGACUGGAAUAACCCGAGGAAACUCGGACUAAUACCGGAUACCCCCAACUGGUCGCAUGGCCGGUUGAGGAAAUGCUCAGGCGCUUCGGGAGGGUCUCACGGCCUAUCAGCUUGUUGGUGAGGUAACGGCUCACCAAGGCAUCGACGGGUAGCUGGUCUGAGAGGA
rnacentral:rRNA from 1 species